rfam:Oryza rufipogon genomic scaffold, chr07
AAAAAAGCAAACCCUGAGUUUUCGUGUCCAACUUUGACUGUCCGUUUUAUAUGAAUUUUUUUUAUAAUCUGUAUUUUCAUUGUUGUUAGAUGAUAAAACAUAAUUAAUAUUUUAUGCGUGACUUGUCUUUUUAAUUUUUUUUCAUAAUUUUUUCAAAUAAGACGGACGGUUAAACGUUGGACACGAAAAUCAGGGUUUGUCUUUUU